rnacentral:lncRNA from 1 species
UAAAUAUAAUAAUAUUAUGUGUAAUCAAUUAAUUACAAGACAUAUUAUACUAAAAAAAUCAAGGCAAUGACAUGACUCUCUGUCUCUCUCUCCCUUCUACACACAUUGAAAUUCCAAUGCAAACGGCAUUGACAUGCAAAUGCUAGACUAUAUUAUAUACAUAAUUCAAUUAGUGCAUGAUCACAAAUUCCGCAACUUGUUUUCCACUAUGCAUAAAGCAUAGAUUUUAAAUCCAAGUAUGGACUGGAAGAUUUACAUGGAAAACUUGUAAUUUCAAGUUUAACCGGAGCCAGGUUCUUAGCAAAAAAUAUGGUGGUUAAAUCCAGCAUACAUUAGCAGAUUUACUUCAAUUUUAGUUGAAUUGGAUAAAUCCGUAACUCAAUAAACUCGUCUAGAUUUUUAGUGAUUCACUUAUCCCUUUCAAACAUAAUUUAAAUCUAGCCGAUUCAAUAUAAAAUAAAUAAAUAAAUAAAUGAUACUUUGAACAAUUAUUUUCAGGUAAGUAUAGUAUAUAAAGUUUUUAGUCACUCUUAACAAUUCGAAAAUAAAUAAAUAAAUGAUACCUUGAACAAUUAUUUUCAGGUAAAUUUUUAUAUCGAGUAUGACAGAUAUAAUAUAAAUUUUUUUGUCACUCUCAACAAUUAGAAACUAAAUAAAUAAAUGAUAUUUGAAAAAUUAUUUUCACGUAAGUCUUUAUAUCGAAUAUGACAGAUAUAGUAUAAAGUUUCUGGUCACUCUCAACAAUUAGAAUAAAUAAAUGAUACUUUGAACAAUUAUUUUCAGGUAAGUCUUUAAAUCGAGUAUGACAGAUAUACUAUAAAGUUUCUGGUCACUCACGACAAUUAGAAAUUUCUACGAGGACAAACUAAGAAACACCAUCUUUUUAUAGCAAAGAUAAAGGAAAGUUGCAAUAAUUUUAGAUUACGAAAA